UACGGAGGGAGCAAGCGUUACUCGGAAUUAUUGGGCGUAAAGGGCGCGUAGGCGAUCUGACAAGUCUGGUGUGAAAAGCCCACAUGUUAACUGUGGAAGUGCAUUAGAAACUGUUGGAUUUGAGUUCAGGAGAGGAAGGCAGAAUUCCAGGUGUAGCGGUGAAAUGCGUAGAUAUCUGGAGGAAUACCGGUGGCGAAGGCGGCAUCCUGGACCGAGAUUGACACUGAUGAGCGAAAGCCAGGGAGCAAACGGG
rnacentral:rRNA from 1 species